UACGGGGGGGGCAAGCGUUGUUCGGAAUUACUGGGCGUAAAGGGCUCGUAGGCGGCCAACUAAGUCGGAUGUGAAAUCCCCAGGCUUAACCUGGGAACUGCAUCCGAUACUGGAUGGCUUGAAUCCGGGAGAGGGAUGCAGAAUUCCAGGUGUAGCGGUGAAAUGCGUAGAUAUCUGGAGGAAUACCGGUGGCGAAGGCGGCAUCCUGGACCGGCAUUGACGCUGAGUGAGCGAAAGCCAGGGGAGCGAACGGG
rnacentral:rRNA from 1 species